rnacentral:rRNA from 1 species
GCUACGGGUGGCAGCAGUCGAGAAUCAUUCACAAUGGGGGAAACCCUGAUGGUGCGACGCCGCGUGGGGGAAUGAAGGUCUUCGGAUUGUAAACCCCUGUCAUGUGGGAGCAAAUUAAAAAGAUAGUAUCACAAGAGGAAGAGACUGCUACCUCUGUGCCAGCAGCCGCGGUAAUACAGAGGUCUCAAGCGUAGUUCGGAAUCACUGGGCGUAAAGCGUGCGUAGGCUGUUUGGGAAGUCGUGUGUGAAAGGUGCGGGCUCAAACCGCGGACGGCACAUGGUACUGCGAGACUAGAGUAAUGGAGGGGGUACCGGAAUUCUCGGUGUAGCAGUGAAAUGCGUAG